rnacentral:rRNA from 1 species
CGUGGGCGCUGGAGAAUUGAGGGGGGCUGCUCCUAGUACGAGAGGACCGGAGUGGACGCAUCACUGGUGUUCGGGUUGUCAUGCCAAUGGCACUGCCCGGUAGCUAAAUGCGGAAGAGAUAAGUGCUGAAAGCAUCUAAGCACGAAACUUGCCCCGAGAUGAGUUCUCCCUGAGACUAUAAGUCUCCUGAAGGAACGUUGAAGACGACGACGUUGAUAGGCCGGGUGUGUAAGCGCAGCGAUGCGUUGAGCUAACCGGUACUAAUGAACCGUGAGGCUUAACCUU